AGCGUGUGUGUGUGUGUGUGUGUGUGUGUGCGCACACACACACACAGUCACACACACACACACACACACUCU
rnacentral:miRNA from 1 species